rnacentral:tRNA from 1 species
GCGGCCAUGGUUUAGUGGUAGGACGGCUCCUUGCCAAGGAGCAGGCGGGGUUUCGAUUACCCCUGGCCGCACCG